rnacentral:rRNA from 1 species
AUUGAACGCUGGCUGCAGGCCUAACACAUGCAAGUCGAGCGGCAGCGGGACAGUAGCUUGCUACUUUUGCCGGCGAGCGGCGGACGGGUGAGUAAUGCCUGGGAAAUUGCCCAGUCGAGGGGGAUAACAGUUGGAAACGACUGAUAAUACCGCAUACGCCCACCGCGGGAAAGCCGGGGACAUCCGGGCCAUGCACGAUUGGAUAUGCCCAGGGGGGCUUAGCUAGUUGGUGAGGUAAUGGCUCAACAAGGCGACGAUCCCUAGCUGGUCUGUGAGGAUGAUCAGUCACACUGGAACUGAGACACGGUCCAGACUCCUACGGGAGGCAGCAGUGGGGAAUAUUGCACAAUGGGGGAAACCCUGAUGCAGCCAUGCCGCGUGUGUGAAGAAGGCCUUCGGGUUGUAAAGCACUUUCAGCGAGGAGGAAAGGUUGAUGCCUAAUACGUAUCAACUGUGACGUUACUCGCAGAAGAAGCACCGGCUAACUCCGUGCCAGCCGCCGCCGUAACAC